AGCACUCUCUUAGAAACCACUUGAGGCAUCAAGUUUGGAGAAUACAGUAGCUCCUGCCAUGUCAAGAAGGAAGUCUCCGAGUGCUGGAAGGAUAUAGUUUUCUCUUGCUACUGAUUCAAUAAGUCUUUUAAGAUCCAUACAGGUUCGUAUUUUUCCCUAUAACAGGUACCAUCAGUGCAGAUCAUGCAGUUGGCUCAGAUCUUUUCUCAAUUAUGUCACUCUUUUCCAUUCCCUUUAACACAGGAAUUCUGUGGGGCAUAUGUACGCUGUGUGGUUCAGCAGCCUUUCUACUGCAACCCCUUUUAAAAAUCCAGUACACCAAAUAGUCUAUCUCCUUCUUCCAUCUUUCUCACUCCUCCCAUCAUGGCAACCACACUGAGACAGGAGACUGUCAGCCUCUGAUCACAUCCACGCUACCCAGAAGAGGAGAGACUUUAAAGUGACCUGGCCAAAGGUCCAACUCGCAGGAAGAGGCAGAUGAUCACAACACCGGAAUGAAGUGGGCUGUAGUCCACGAAAGCUUAUGCUCUAAUAAAUUUGUUAGUCUCUAAGGUG